rnacentral:rRNA from 1 species
CAUGCAGUCGANGAUGAAGCCCUUCGGGGUGGAUUAGUGGCGAACGGGUGAGUAACACGUGGGCAAUCUGCCCUUCACUCUGGGACAAGCCCUGGAAACGGGGUCUAAUACCGGAUAACACCGGCUUCCGCAUGGGAGCUGGUUGAAAGCUCCGGCGGUGAAGGAUGAGCCCGCGGCCUAUCAGCUUGUUGGUGGGGUAAUGGCCUACCAAGGCGACGACGGGUAGCCGGCCUGAGAGGGCGACCGGCCACACUGGGACUGAGACACGGCCCAGACUCCUACGGGAGGCAGCAGUGGGGAAUAUUGCACAAUGGGCGAAAGCCUGAUGCAGCGACGCCGCGUGAGGGAUGACGGCCUUCGGGUUGUAAACCUCUUUCAGCAGGGAAGAAGCGAAAGUGACGGUACCUGCAGAAGAAGCGCCGGCUAACUACGUGCCAGCAGCCGCGGUAAUACGUAGGGCGCAAGCGUUGUCCGGAAUUAUUGGGCGUAAAGAGCUCGUAGGCGGCUUGUCACGUCGGGUGUGAAAGCCCGGGGCUUAACCCCGGGUCUGCAUCCGAUACGGGCAGGCUAGAGUGUGGUAGGGGAGAUCGGAAUUCCUGGUGUAGCGGUNA